AUUGAACGCUGGCGGCAGGCCUAACACAUGCAAGUCGAGCGGAUGAAGGGAGCUUGCUCCUGGAUUCAGCGGCGGACGGGUGAGUAAUGCCUAGGAAUCUGCCUGGUAGUGGGGGAUAACGUCCUGAAACGGGCGCUAAUACCGCAUACGUCCUGAGGGAGAAAGUGGGGGAUCUUCGGACCUCACGCUAUCAGAUGAGCCUAGGUCGGAUUAGCUAGUUGGUGGGGUAAAGGCCUACCAAGGCGACGAUCCGUAACUGGUCUGAGAGGAUGAUCAGUCACACUGGAACUGAGACACGGUCCAGACUCCUACGGGAGGCAGCAGUGGGGAAUAUUGGACAAAGGGCGAAAGCCUGAUACAGCCAUGCCGCGUGUGUGAAGAAGGUCUUCGGAUUGUAAAGCACUUUAAGUUGGGAGGAAGGGCAGUAAGUUAAUACCUUGCUGUUUUGACGUUACCAACAGAAUAAGCACCGGCUAACUUCGUG
rnacentral:rRNA from 1 species